rnacentral:rRNA from 1 species
UACGUAGGGUGCAAGCGUUGUCCGGAUUAUUGGGCGUAAAGAGCUCGUAGGCGGUUUGUCGCGUCGGCCGUGAAAUCUCCACGCUUAACGUGGAGCGUGCGGUCGAUACGGGCAGACUUGAGUUCGGUAGGGGAGACUGGAAUUCCUGGUGUAGCGGUGAAAUGCGCAGAUAUCAGGAGGAACACCGGUGGCGAAGGCGGGAUCCUGGGCCAGUACGUGACGCUGAGGAGCGAAAGCGUGGGGAG